AAUCAAUACAAUAAAUUGUGCGCUGUGUCCAUCCAGCCGGUUGAGUUUUCGACCCUUUGACACGAGUUUUGGGAUUAGGUCAAAUGACUUGAGGUACCUAGUAAUCGGGAACUCUGAAACUCUGAAAGUGGUUUCAUCGUUGGAUGUACAUAAACAUCCUAAUGUUGAUGGGUUUAGAUUUUCCUCGUGGGAUACAAUUAACUACUCGAUUUAAUUAAAGAUC